GAUACAAAAAACCCUAAUUUUUACUCAAUUAAAAUUAACAUAUCGGAGACAUGAUUAUUGAAAUCAAUUUGCACAAAUGUUACGAUAUUAAAAGUUUCCUAGCAUGAAAUGCAAACCACUAGACUGGUUCCCGGAUCCUCCGCUUGGUGUCGCUGCACUUGUUCCGCGUUUCAAUCAAAGGACCGGUAUCGCCCACCAUGACACAUCGUCUGCUACAACAAGAUGGCGGCUGUCAAAAUGCAUUGGGCGAAGCUAGUGAGCUCUGGAAAAUUGUAGUUUUCCAAGUAAUGGAGAUUAACAGCUGGUGUCACGUAAGGCCAUAGAAUGUUUCCCGGAUCCUCUGCUUGGUGUCGCUGCUCUUGCUCUGCUUUCCAAGGAAUUAAAGGACCGUUAUCGCCCACCAUAAAACAUGGUCUGCUAAAACAAGAUGGCGGCUGACAAAACACAUUGGGCAAGGCUUGAGAGCCUUGAAAUAUUGUAGUUUUCGCAGUAAUAGAGGAACCAUGCCAUAAUGGGAGAUGGACUAGAGAUGAGGAGAAAUUUUUGACAGUUUGUGGAGAGCAGGGGGGUGGAAAAUAUCAAAUACAAAGAGUGGAAGGACUGUGCGGAAGACCAGAGUAAUGGGUGUACAGACUGAUGUAACUUUUGGGCCUAUGAUUGAAGUGACCUGGGCAUGUAGCAGUCAUGCACUUUAUACCACUCAUUCGCAUUCCUUAAUUAGAUCUAUGUUAUCAAAUGUAUCAGUCAGUGAACCAGCCUCACCCACCAUACGCUCACAGACCUGCCAUGUCUCUGACAUACCGUCAACCGAUGCCACUUCUCCGUUGGUGCCCGAACAAAACUACUCGCAACCACUUACAGUCAGUGAACCAGCCGCACCUGCUAUAUGCUCACAGACCUGCCAUGUCUCUGACAUACCGUGAACUGAUGCCACUUCUCCGUUGGUGCCUAAACAAAACUGCUUGCAACCACUUACAGUCAGUGAACCAGCCUCACCAGUUGUCUGUUGUUCAAUUAUGCUUGAGCAUAACUAAGAAAAUCAAAAGAGAACCAAAAUCUUAUCAAAGAAAAAGAUUAAAAGGCAGAACAAAAUAAUGUCAAUUGGCAGAAUUUCUUACCCACCAAUCAAUAAAUGUUCCUGGAAGAGUAUCUUUGACUCAUCUGGUCAAACUGGUAUUCAUGUACAACAAAAUGAAUAAAUGCUCAAUUAUCGCAUUAAGAGAUUUCUUUGCCAUUUGGCAUAAAUACUUUCACAAGUUCAGGAAAAAGCUGAGAUGGGUUAUCAAUUUGCAAAUGUUGGUAAUGAGGUUACUGUUCACUGGUUGUAUAUUUUCACCAUAUAUUUGGGGCCAUUCAAAUUGGAUUGUGUGAUAUUAAUUCUAUGAUCAUGUUGAACUGUUGUUUUGUGAAGUAUCGAAGAAAGAUAUUUCAGUGUUAUAACUAUUUAUUCUUGUAACUAAUAUCAAUCCCAGCUGUAUUUCGUGGCAAAAACAUACCUAUUCUGUGACUAGAAUUUCACUUUCACAAUUGUUUUUAGUGACAAUGUUGAUUGAUGAUCACUAGUGUAAACAUACAGACAUAAGCAAUAAUACAUAAUUCAUAUUUACUGUGAAACAAAAUCAGGAUAUUGAGUUUAUGUUACCAUUUCUCAAACGAAAAAUGUUUAAAAGACUGUUUGUAAAUUGUUUUUACGUUUCCAUUUGUCAUACUAUACUUGGCAUUUAAGAACAAUAUGUUUUCUAAACAUUGGUGAAUGGAGAAUAAGAAAAGUAAGCAAUUUUUUCUAUAAUUUCACUAACAAAUGUGAUUAUUAUCACAUAUUUUAAAAGUUGAUGAGAUGAAUGGUAACUGUUCAAAUUUGGGAUUUGUCACGUCAUGAUUAUUUGUAACUACCGUAUUCGACAUAAUAAGCGCCCUGCUCUAAUAAGCGCCCACGACGAUAUUUGCUAAUAUAUUGGCUAGUGAACAAUCUCAGUAAGCAUCCCUUCCAAUUGAUUAAUGUACACAAG
rnacentral:lncRNA from 1 species